rnacentral:rRNA from 1 species
UGACGAAGGGGGCUAGCGUUUGCUCGGGAAUGAAGCUGGGCGUAAAGGGCGCGUAGCUGGAGUGCUUUGUCAGGCGCGAAAUUCCAGGGCUUAACCUUGGGGUCUGCGUUUGAGGACGGGCAUUCUUGGAGUAUGGAAGAGGGGUCGUGGAAUUCCCAGUGUAGAGGUGAAAUUCGUAGAUAUUGGGAAGAACACCGGUGGCGAAGGCGGCGACCUGGUCCAUGACUGACGCUGAGGCGCGAAGCGUGGGAGCAAACAGG